GGCGGAUUAGCUCAGCUGGUUAGAGCAGAGGAAUCAUAAUCCUUUGGUCCGGGGUUCGAGUCCCUGAUCCGCCACCA
rnacentral:tRNA from 2 species